UACGUAGGGUGCGAGCGUUGUCCGGAAUUAUUGGGCGUAAAGGGCUCGUAGGCGGUUUGUCGCGUCGGGAGUGAAAUCCACUGGCUUAACUGGUGGCUUGCUUUCGAUACGGGCAGACUGGAGGUAUGCAGGGGAGAACGGAAUUCCUGGUGUAGCGGUGAAAUGCGCAGAUAUCAGGAGGAACACCGGUGGCGAAGGCGGUUCUC
rnacentral:rRNA from 1 species